rnacentral:lncRNA from 1 species
AUAUAUGUACAAUAUAUAUCAAUAUUUAUGCAUUGGAGUAUAAGAUUAAUCUACGCUUAUUUAGUUAUAUAUUUAUUUAUUAAUUGGACGUUAUGGCUGUGGGGUUUGACUAUUUUGCCCCCUCAGGGCGGCCCCCCUUGGAGGAGAUCUUGCUGUCUAGAAAAGGAGGCAAGGUUGGUUUAUUGAUCUCUGAUCCCCAUCUUGAUCUACUGCAUCAUCACCGUCGAUUUGGUGGACCCGAGGUUGCCGGUCGUUGACUUUCGUUGAAUUUCAGGCUCCGACGUGCGGCGACAGCGUUGACGACGCCUGCAAGAUGUGACCCCAGCUUUCCAUAUAUGUGUAUAUUGGUAUACGUGUUUGUAAUUUGACGUUAAGAUGAUAAGAUAUGGGAUGAUCAUGGGAAGAACAGCUGUACGGACAACCACCAGAGAAGUCAACGCCCAAGAAGAAGAAAAUAGAAUGAUCAUGAGAUAUAAUAUACGAUGGAACGAUCAUGAAAUAUAAUCCCAAAAUGGGCUCUGGCUCCGACCCUCUUUGCCCAAGGAGACGGGGAGAGAGAGAGAGAAUGGGAGCGGUACAGGAUCCUUAAAGUCAACGCAGUCUGCAGCAUCAGUGGGAAAUGACCUGCAAUUCAUGAAGUCAACUCGAGAUAAGGAGAGAAACUACGAGCCGAUGCAGCAAGUUGCAGGGUGUCUAAGCUGACUUUCAAGGUGGACCUGCCUCCGUGCUCCGCCGCCUA